UUGUUUGGAUGGUUUAAUGUGUGUAUGUCGUAUAUGAAAAGAAGCAAAAAUCCUUAGAAUAUGAGAUCAUUUAUUUGGUAAAGUGAUCGACAUUUUUUUUUUUUUUAAAGUUCUAUUCUAUGAACAAAAAUGUGGUUGAUCAAUUAGUAAUUUUUUUUUUAAUUUUCCUUUUAAACAUGUAUUUCUGUUCUAAUAUAAAAUAUCAAAUUAGAUAUGGAUAAUAUAAACAUUAAAUUUGGACAGUUUAGUAAUUUCAAUUAUGAAUAAGUGUAGCUUUUCAAAAUAUAAUUUUAUUUAAAAGUGAAUUUUUCCAAAUUUUCCCUAAAUGUUUUCAUAUCAUCAAGUUUAUUACUUAUUUAACAGUCAGGCGAAGGAUGAAUGACAUUUUAUUGCGAUGAGUGUAUGGAAUAAUGUGGAUAAUAUUAGACGACUGUUCAUUUUGAUGUUGAGUUUGUGAGACAAUAUCGACAUAUGGUAUACUACGUUUGUUU
rnacentral:lncRNA from 1 species